UUGCUUUGGCAGCACAUAUACUAAAAUUGGAAUGAUACAGAGAAGAUUAGCAUGGGCCCUGCACAAGGAUGACACACAAAUCCGUGAAGCGUUCCGUAUUUUA